GUUACCCCUCAGGCCUAAGCUCUCUCUCUUUCGUUUCUCGGGGCUUAAACGCUUCCCCCUCCUUCUGAUCUCAGCCAAACCCUUCACCUCUUUUCUUUUUCUCCGUCUGUUCAUAGUCUCUUCCGCCUCAAGUCUUGGCCUCUAAAGCUUGGUUGGAUAAAGGUCUUGCAUUGGGUACAGGUUCUAUCUGCAGAUAGCCAUUUGAAUGAUAGGCAUAUGAGGUGUUUCUUCGCUUGAAAGCCCAUUUAGCAGAAUCAGACUUGCAGGGUUGGGUAGGAAAUGAAAGUUUUGAGAAUCAGGUCCAACAGAUGCAAGAACCCAAAAUAAGGUAUUCUGAGGAGAGAGAGACCACUAGGAGCAGAAGCUGAGAGGCAGUGUUGGUUGCUGGAGACCGGAGUGAGUAGACUCAUCCAUAGCUGUUGGCUUAAUCGUAUUUUGAAAACUAAGGACUUUGAAGUAGAAAAGAGCUUAGCUUGAGACACAGAGAGAUAUUAGACAUGGUGGGGCUUGUUGGGAGACUCUGGAACUUACAAUAUAAGAGCAUAGUGAAAGAAGCAUCAGGAAAAACCCUUGCAGUGGCAAAGUUCUUCUGUGUCCUCCACGUCACCAACACCUACCUAUGCACCUUUGCCCUCGCCUAUGGUCCCAGCAUGGUCCCGACCUUCAAUCUAACCGGCGAUAUGUACCUGGCAGAGCGGCUCUCCAUCAAAUUUGGCAAAGUGGGCCCCGGAGAUGUUGUCCUCUUACGCUCUCCUGAAUCUCCUCGAAAAGUCAUGGUAAAGCGCUUGUUGGGAUUGGAAUCUCAUUCUAUCACCUAUGUUGUUGACCCCAUGAAAAGUGAUAGAUGUGACACUAUUGUGGUUCCAAAGGGACAUGUUUGGGUAGAGGGAGACAACAUUUAUAAUUCCAGAGAUUCAAGACAAUUUGGUCCUGUUCCCUAUGGCCUCCUUGAAGGCAAAGUAUUCUGUAAGAUAUGGCCUCCUAAAGAAUUUGGAUCACUGAUGAAGAGCGGAAUGAAGGAUCCAGAUUUAUAAGGCAUUGUGGUGGAUGCUAUUUAGCUUUACAAUACUAAUAACAAGUUACCUUUGGUGUCUUUUCCUGGACUUAUGUCCUAAUUAGCUAAGAUUAACAAAGUGUCAUAUUCUUACCAUCUCUAAAGUUCAUAAUGGCUUACAAGUUCAGAGGGGGAAUUAUCAGCUCUUUGCGUUUGGAUUUUCUUCCUUGUUUACUAUGUCUAGCUAACAGCCUUGUAACUUAGUGAUUGACAUUACCUUUUCUCCUUUAUGAGGAGAAUCAAGGUUCGAAUCCCUCUCUACUUCACUUGUUAUAACAAUUGGAUUAAAAAAAAAAAAAAGAAUGUUUACUUUGUCUCUGUUUGCUGGAAUGCUACUGCUAAAACAUAUGAAUAAGUAAAUUAGAUUUGUUAUUAUUGAACUCAAUUGAAAGAUUGUUGCUUCCUAGGUAUUGAACUAAUUCAUGGCUUUUAUCCCUUUUUGUCGCCCCCAUCUCGCCAGACGGAAGGGACAUGGGAAUGUGAAAAAGGUAAAAUAUUUGCAUUUGUUAAUUUAAGACUUGGGAUAAAUUUUUUAGUUAUUUACAUAUUGUCAGUAAAAGGCUACAAUGAGAGUACUCUC